UCAUACAAUGUUUUCUUUUCAGAAGACAUCAAGAUACUGAUGACAAAAAUGGCAGAGAAGAACAAUAAAAAUGUAAUAAUUAUUUGUUCAGUGAUAGGCAGCACAUUAUUUCUUAUCAUUAUUAUUAUGCUGUGCCUGCUAGAUGCCAUUUCGGAUGUUAAACAUGCGACCACUGACAAACUCAUUGAAGCUGAGGAAGGACGUGUUAACAAUCCAAAAUAAUAAAGCAAAUAUAUAGUAGGAGGUAUCAUCCCAAAGAAAAGUUAUUUGUUAAGGAGGUGA